AUACUUACCUGGCAGGGAAGAUACCAUGAUCACGAAGGUGGUUUUCCCAGGGUGAGGCUUAUACAUUGCACUCCGGAUGUGCUGACCCCUGCGAUUUUCCCAAAUGUGGGAAACUCAACUGCAUAAUUUGUGGUAGUGGGGAUAAAAAAAAAUAGAACUACCAUAUUAUCCAGCAAUCCCAC
rnacentral:snRNA from 1 species